rnacentral:ncRNA from 2 species
UAAAAAACUUGGGGGUGCCGAAAAUUUCGGCUGAGAGUAAACCCCUUGAACCUGAUACUUGUAAUCAAGUCGUAGGGAAAGUUGCUGCAAACAAA